UCUCCGUUGGUGAACCAGCGGAGGGAUCAUUACUGAGUUUACGCUCUAUAACCCUUUGUGAACCUACUAUUUUGUUGCCUCGGCGGGUUCUGCCUCCCAUCUCGGGAGCAGGCUCAAGCCCGCCGGUGGCCCAACUAAACUCUUGUAUUAUUUGUUAUCUGAGAGUUAUUUUUAAAAUAAGUCAAAACUUUCAACAACGGAUCUCUUGGUUCUGGCAUCGAUGAAGAACGCAGC
rnacentral:misc_RNA from 1 species